rnacentral:rRNA from 1 species
GACGAACGCUGGCGGCAUGCCUAAUACAUGCAAGUCGAGCGAGCAGAUGAAGUGCUUGCACUUCUGACGUUAGCGGCGAACGGGUGAGUAACACGUAAGGAAUCUACCUAUAAGCGGGGGAUAACAUUCGGAAACGGGUGCUAAUACCGCAUAAUAUCUUCUUCCGCAUGGAAGAAGAUUGAAAGACGGCUCUGCUGUCACUUAUAGAUGACCUUGCGGUGCAUUAGUUAGUUGGUGGGGUAACGGCCUACCAAGACGAUGAUGCAUAGCCGACCUGAGAGGGUGAGCGGCCACAUUGGGACUGAGACACGGCCCAAACUCCUACGGGAGGCAGCAGUAGGGAAUCUUCCGCAAUGGGCGAAGGCCUGACGGAGCAAUGCCGCGUGAGUGAAGAAGGCCUUCGGGUCGUAAAACUCUGUUAUAAGAGAAGAACAAAUUGUAGAGUAACUGCUACAGUCUUGACGGUAUCUUAUCAGAAAGCCACGGCUAACUACGUGCCAGCCGCCGCCGUAA